AAAAAAGGAAAUGAAAAAAAAAAAAAAAAAACAAACGUUCGCUGAAUCAAAGAAUAACUCUAGUUUUCAACUAAAAAACCUGAAACUACUUAUCUAGAUCAUAUUAUAAUUUACGAGUUUGAAUGAAGUGAAUCAAAGAAUAACCAUUCUCUUUUGUUUUUCACUAUUUUUAUUUUCUUUUUAUGUUAAGGGACAAAAGAAAACCUGGUUCAACAAAUAUGAAAGAACAACAUAUUUUCAUUUCUCUUAUUCAACAAUGUGUUACACACUUAUUAUCUCUGAAUUAAGAAAGACCAACAGAAAUUACAAAUCUCUUAAGAGAAGAGAAGGUGGGGGCCAGAGUUUUGUUUGGCACUUUGUUAGAUGCAGAAUGAAUCAGGGCCACCAAUAGUGUUCCCAUAAACAAUGGUAACAAUAGAAGUCAAGAGUGCAUAUAACAAAACAAUUGAAUUAAAGCAUUGUGACUUGUGAGGCAUUUACUGCUAUUUGAUUUUCAGAAGCAGGUUUCCAAUGAAAUUUCUCUCAUCAAGAUCCAGAACAAAACAAUUGGACUGCAUAUAAGUAGUCAAUUAUUUUCAUGAAAGGCAGUGACUACCUUUAAUGGGGGUAAUUUGCCUUUAUCUUAUAUUGCAGUUUAUCUACCUUCACAAAAGUCUAAAUACUUACAAGGAGAAAAAAAGGGAAUGAUCUUGUGCAGUAAUCUCGAUGUUGAAAAGUUGUGAACAACUUGGGGAGCAUACAAAUUGCUAUUUAUUCAAUCAAUAGUCAGCAUCUGACUUUUAAACCAGAUAAGUAUGUUACAAGCCAGUUUUGCAUUGAUGUCUAACUAGCUGUUCAUAAAAGCAGCACCUUAAAUACAUUAAUUCUGCCAUUAAAAUUAAUUUUAAGUGAAUUUUGAUAUGUUUUAGUCAUAAAAAUUUAAAAACAGCCAAACAACAUUUUCAAACUGCUUUUUCAGCAACAUCUAAAGGAUGCUUUUUCAAAAAGCAGCUUCCGCUGCUUUGAAACUCAAUGCUAAAUUGGCCCUAUAUCUCCUCUUUCUCAUGCACCACCCCUCCCACACCCACCUCCAACACAACAAAC
rnacentral:misc_RNA from 1 species